rnacentral:rRNA from 1 species
AUACGGAGGGUGCAAGCGUUACUCGGAAUCACUGGGCGUAAAGCGCAUGCAGGCGGCCAGAUAAGUUGGAAGUGAAAGCCUACGGCUCAACCGUAGAACUGCUUCCAAAACUGUCUGGCUAGAGUCUGGGAGGGGAAGAUGGAAUUAGUAGUGUAGGGGUAAAAUCCGUAGAGAUUACUAGGAAUACCAAAAGCGAAGGCGAUCUUCUGGAACAGUACUGACGCUGAGGUACGAAAGCGUGGGUAGCAAACAGGAUUAGAAACCCUAGUAGUCC